rnacentral:rRNA from 1 species
GACGAACGCUGGCGGCGUGCCUAAUACAUGCAAGUAGAACGCAGUUGCGAACGGGUGAGUAACGCGUAGGUAACUGCCUCAUAGCGGGGGAUAACUAUUGGAAACGAUAGCUAAUACCGCAUACUGUGAGAUGGACCUGAGUUUUAUUAGUUAGUUGGGGGGGUAAAGGCUCACCAAGGCGACGAUACAGAGCCGGCCUGAGAGGGUGAGCGGCCACACUGGGACUGAGACACGGCCCAGACUCCUACGGGAGGCAGCAGUAGGGAAUCGUCGGCAAUGGACGGAAGUCUGACCGAGCAACGCCGCGUGAGUGAAGAAGGUUUGCGGAUCGUAAAGCUCUGUUGGUAGAGAAGCGGUACCGAACCAGAAAGGGACGGCUAACUACGUGCCAGUAGCCGCGGUAAUAC